rnacentral:lncRNA from 1 species
AGUGGACAAGAAGGCUGCUGGAGCUGGCAAGGUCACCAAGUCUGCCCAGAAAGCUCUGAAGGCUAAAUGAAUAUUAUCCCUAAUACCUGCCAACCUACUCUUAAUCAGUGGUGGAAGAAUGGUCUCAGAACUGCUUGUUUCAAUUGGCCAUUUAAGUUUAGUAGUAAAAGACUGGUUAAUGAUACCAAUGCAUCGUAAAACCUUCAGAAGGAAAGGAGAAUGUUUUGUGGACCACUUUGGUUUUCUUUUUUGUGUGUGGCAGUUUUAAGUUAUUAGUUUUUAAAAUCAGUACUUUUUAAUGGGAACAACUUGACCAAAAAUUUGUCACAGAAUUUUGAGACCCAUUAAAAAAGUUUCA